UAUUAUCAAUUUAAACCAUGGAGAAAUGUUCGCAAAAUCGAGUUGCUACGGUAGCGCGAGAGAGACUUCAUCAAGAGACUUGCUAUAAUACGCACUUGAUGAGUGCCCGUAGUUCUUCGCAAUUGCCCAUUACUAAUUUGCUGGCCUAGCGAUGCCGCCGGUGAGGGAAGGGAUUGGGCUGCCGAAAGAGGCCAUCGACCCUUGGUCAAUUUCACGAAUAUUUGCACUGUUGGGAGAGCGUUUUGUUUCACUCUAAUGUUUGGACAGGCAGCAGCCGUGCAUGAUAGACACCGUCCGCAGAAAUGAGAUGCGGUCAUGAAACUGGGGAAGUUCGGGAUGAUCAAUAUGAUAUUAGAAAUGUCUCUAUUGUCCACUUCGUGGAAAUUGCGUCAGAUCCGCUGACGAAGAUCUACAAAUCGCGGUUAUUCUGAGGAUUCCCAGAGCCCAAUAAACCACUUUGAUCGUUUCAGUGGAAGAGGCAAGAGUGGUUCAAUUUUGUUCGCGCCGUGAUGUGUUUAGUGUGAAAAGCAUUGCAAAGUAUAGCAAUAAGUAGCUUGGCGAUUCUAGUGUGUGCGCUGCUAGAAAAAUAUAAGGUUCGUGGCAGCCGUCGAAAGUCCGACACAUCACACCUCUUCGUUAGUGACCGCUCUUGACCCCACGAUUCGGCUCAAGGUUGGUCCCGGCGGUACACGUGGCCGGAAGAAGGCGGCGUCCGUCAAAUCGCGCCUUGGCAGGACCGUUCGAAUACAGCAAGUACAACCUCAACAGCAAUCUACGCUUUCCGGUGACGACCGAAAGUUUCGACGGAAGUACCCCGUCUGCGUAAGUUCCACGAACCGGCGGUGAAGACCAUCGU